rnacentral:rRNA from 1 species
AGAGUUUGAUCCUGGCUCAGGAUGAACGCUGGCGGCGUGCUUAACACAUGCAAGUCGAACGAUCCUUCGGGAUAGUGGCGGACGGGUGAGUAACGCGUGGGAAUCUGCCCUCAGGAGGGGGAUAACGGCUGGAAACGGCCGCUAAUACCCCAUAUGCCGAGAGGUGAAAUGAAUUUCGCCUGAGGAUGAGCCCGCGUCUGAUUAGCUAGUUGGUGGGGUAAAGGCCUACCAAGGCAACGAUCAGUAGCUGGUCUGAGAGGAUGAUCGGCCACACUGGGACUGAGACACGGCCCAGACUCCUACGGGAGGCAGCAGUGGGGAAUUUUCCGCAAUGGGCGAAAGCCUGACGGAGCAACGCCGCGUGAGGGAUGAAGGCCUCUGGGCUGUAAACCUCUUUUCUCAAGGAAGAAGACCUGACGGUACUUGAGGAAUAAGCCACGGCUAAUUCCGUGCCAGCAGCCGCGGUAAUACGGGAGUGGCAAGCGUUAUCCGGAAUUAUUGGGCGUAAAGCGUCCGCAGGCGGCCUUGUAAGUCUGUUGUUAAAGCGUGGAGCUCAACUCCAUUUAAGCAAUGGAAACUACAAGGCUGGAGUGUGGUAGGGGCAGAGGGAAUUCCCGGUGUAGCGGUGAAAUGCGUAGAUAUCGGGAAGAACACCAGUGGCGAAGGCGCUCUGCUGGGCCAUAACUGACGCUCAUGGACGAAAGCCAGGGGAGCGAAAGGGAUUAGAUACCCCUGUAGUCCUGGCCGUAAACGAUGAACACUAGGUGUCGGGGGAAUCGACCCCCUCGGUGUCGUAGCCAACGCGUUAAGUGUUCCGCCUGGGGAGUACGCACGCAAGUGUGAAACUCAAAGGAAUUGACGGGGGCCCGCACAAGCGGUGGAGUAUGUGGUUUAAUUCGAUGCAACGCGAAGAACCUUACCAGGGUUUGACAUCCUGCGAACCCCUGAGAAAUCGGGGGGUGCCUUCGGGAGCGCAGAGACAGGUGGUGCAUGGCUGUCGUCAGCUCGUGUCGUGAGAUGUUGGGUUAAGUCCCGCAACGAGCGCAACCCACGUCUUUAGUUGCCAGCAUUCAGUUGGGCACUCUAGAGAGACCGCCGGUGAUAAACCGGAGGAAGGUGUGGAUGACGUCAAGUCAUCAUGCCCCUUACAUCCUGGGCUACACACGUACUACAAUGCUACGGACAAAGGGCAGCAAGCUCGCGAGAGUUAGCAAAUCCCAUAAACCGUGGCUCAGUUCAGAUCGUAGGCUGCAACUCGCCUACGUGAAGGAGGAAUCGCUAGUAAUCGCAGGUCAGCAUACUGCGGUGAAUACGUUCCCGGGCCUUGUACACACCGCCCGUCACACCAUGGAAGUUGGCCAUGCCCGAAGUCGUUACUCCAACCCUUGUGGAGGAGGACGCCGAAGGUGGGGCUGAUGACUGGGGUGAAGUCGUAACAAGGUA